AGCGGCGGACGGGUGAGUAACGCGUGGGUAACCUGCCUCAUACAGGGGAUAACAGUUGGAAACGGCUGCUAAUACCGCAUAAGCGCACAGUACCGCAUGGUACGGUGUGAAAAACUCCGGUGGUAUGAGAUGGACCUGCGUCUGAUUAGGUAGUUGGUGGGGUAACGGCCUACCAAGCCGACGAUCAGUAGCCGACCUGAGAGGGUGACCGGCCACAUUGGGACUGAGACACGGCCCAA
rnacentral:rRNA from 1 species